GACGAACGCUGGCGGCGUGCCUAAUACAUGCAAGUCGAACGAGAGCGACCGGUGCUUGCACUGGUCAAUCUAGUGGCGCACGGGUGAGUAACACGUGGGUAACCUGCCCAUCAGAGGGGGAUAACAUCCGGAAACGGAUGCUAAAACCGCAUAGGUCUUCGAGCCGCAUGGCUUGAAGAGGAAAAAAGGCGCAAGCUUCUGCUGCUGGCUGGACCCGCGGUGCAUUAGCUAGUUGGUGAGGUAACGGCUCCCCAAGGCCGUGAUGCAUAGCCGACCUGAGGGGGUGAUCGGCCACAUUGGGACUGAGACACGGCCCAAACUCCUACGGGAGGCAGCAGUAGGGAAUCUUCCGCAAUGGACGCAAGUCUGACGGAGCAACGCCGCGUGAGUGAAGAAGGUUUUCGGAUCGUAAAACUCUGUUGUUAGAGAAGAACAAGUGCUAGAGUAACUGUUAGCGCCUUGACGGUAGCUAAACAGAAAGCCACGGCUAACUACGUG
rnacentral:rRNA from 1 species